UGUACCUACGGGACGCAGCAGUAGGGAAUCUUCGGCAAUGGACGAAAGUCUGACCGAGCAACGCCGCGUGAGUGAAGAAGGUUUUCGGAUCGUAAAACUCUGUUGGUAAAGAAGAACAAGGGUGAGAGUAAAAUAUUCACCCCUUGACGGUAUUUACCCAGAAAGCCACGGCUAACUACGUGCCAGCAGCCGCGGUAAUACGUAGGUGGCAAGCGUUGUCCGGAUUUAUUGGGCGUAAAGCGAGCGCAGGCGGUCUUCUAAGUCUGAUGUGAAAGCCCCCGGUUCAACCGGGGAGGGUCAUUGGG
rnacentral:rRNA from 1 species